UACGGAGGGAGCUAGCGUUGUUCGGAUAUACUGGGCGUAAAGCGCACGUAGGCGGCGCAGCAAGUCAGGGGUGAAAUCCCGGAGCUCAACUCCGGAACUGCCUUUGAAACUGCAGUGCUAGAAUCCUGGAGAGGCGAGUGGAAUUCCGAGUGUAGAGGUGAAAUUCGUAGAUAUUCGGAAGAACACCAAGUGGCGAAGGUCGGUACCUCGGCU
rnacentral:rRNA from 1 species